CUCUAUCUCGUCUGGUUCUAAUUCAAUAAUGUGGUUCGGGUCUUUCACAUAUUUACGUAACAUAGAUAUGUGAAAAACGUUAUGAACACGAGACAUACUUGGCGGUAAGACGAGUCUAUAGGCCACAGUUCCUACUCGAUUGAGGAUUAAAAAUGGACCAAUGAAUCGAGGGUUUAGCUUUCCUCUCUUUCCAAAUCUCGUAACUCCCUUCCAUGGAGCAACAUGUAACAACACAUGUUCUCCAAUAUCAAAUUUCACGUCCUUUUGAUGAAGAUCAGCAUAACUCUUAUGUCGAUCUUGUGAGAUUUUUAUACGUUGUAGGAUCGUUUAAAUCUUUUCCGUAGUCAUACGUACCAACUCCGGUCCCAACAACAUUGCUUCAUCCACUUCAUCUCAGCAUACUGGAGAACGACACUUUCUUCCAUACAACGCCUCAAAUGGAGCCAUGCCAAUACUUGCUUGAUAACUGUUGUUGUAGGAAAACUCCAACAAUGGUAAGAACUUGUCCCAACUUCCUUUGAAGUCAAGGACACAGAGUCUUAAUAAAUCUUCAAGUUUGAAUAGUCCUCUCCGACUGCCCGUCCAUCUGAGGAUGAUAUGUCGAGCUAAAUCGUAAAUCCGUGCACUUAGCUUUUUGCAAACUAACCCAAAAUCUUGAAGUGAAUCUUGGGUCUCGAUCAGAAACUAUAGAUACCGGCAUACCAUGCAGUCUUACAAUCUCGUUUAUGUACAUACGAGCAAGACGUUCAAGUGUAUAAUUUUCUCGUAUAGGUAGGAAAUGAGCAGACUUGAUCAAUCUAUCAACAAUGAUCCAAAUUGCAUCUAUGCCUUGAGAAACCUUGGGAAGACAUGGACCUUUUGGUACUUGAUGCUCCACCUUGACUCGUUGACAAGUUAAACACCUUGAGAUAAACUCCGUUAUCUCUCUUUUCAUAUUGCUCCACCAAAAUGUAUGUCGAAGAUCACGAUACAUUUUGGUACUCCCAUGAUGGAUUACAAACGGUGUGUUGUGCGCCUGCAUCAUGAUUUUAUACUUUAAAUCAGGGUUGUUAGGAACACAAAGUCUGGAGUUGACUCGAAGUAUUCCUUCUUCAUCGAUUCUUGCUUCCGGCAUAGCACCUUCUUGCACUUUCUUCCUCAUACGCAUCAGCUCUAGGUCUGUAGCUUGAGCAGCUUUAACUUUAUCGAAUAAAGUCGGUUCUACUCGUAUAUUCGCCAUCAUCAUAUGGGUCCCUGGAGUCUUUAACUCUAUCUCCAUCCUUUGUAAGUCAUAUAAAAUGGGCCUUUGCGUUGAUAAUAAUGCACUCGUACCCGCAUAUGAUCUUCUACUCAAUGCAUCAGCUACUACGUUCACUUUUCCAGGAUGGUAUUGAAUGGUAUGAUUGUAAUCUUUCAACAACUCAAGCCAUCGUCGUUGCCGCAUGUUGAGUUCCUUUUGAGUGAAGAAAUAUUUGAGGCUUUUAUGAUCCAUAUAGAUCUCCACCUUCUCUCCAUACAGGUAAUGCCUCCAAAUCUUAAGCGCAAAAUGACUGCUGCCAACUCUAGAUCAUGAGUACGAUAAUUCCUCUGAUAUUCUUUGAGUUGUCGUGAGUCAUAGGCUAUGACUUUCCCAUGUUGCAUGAGAACACAUCCUAACCCAUUGCAUGAAACAUCACUGUAGAUGACAAAUCCCUCUAAGCCAGAUGGUAUUGUCAAAACAGGGGCUGAAAUGAGUCUCCUCUAGAGUUCCUGAAAACUCUUCUCACAUUCCUCGCUCUAACCGAAUUUAUAUCUUUUCGAGUCAGCUUAGUUAAUGGAGUAGCGAUUCGAGAAAACCCUUCUACGAAUCUCCGAUAAUAACCAGCUAAGCCAAGAAAGCUACGUACUUCGGUCACUGAUUUAGGUUGCUUCCAGCUUUGAAUUUCUUCAAUCUUUGUCGGGUCAACAUAUAUCCCAUGAUUUGAUAUAACGUGUGACGCCCCCAAAAUAGGUAUACAUCACCUAUUCUGAGUCGCCAAAUACAUGGUAUAGAAUACAAAUACAACCUUAAAUAUACAACAUGAGCUGUGAGUUUUAAUACAAAUAUUAUCUUCUAGACAGUAUUCAAACUCAAAAUAAGUCCUCAAUACAUUUAUUAUCACACUAUUUCAUAGAAUAGUGAGGACUACUAAUGCUAUCAUCUGGACCGUCACUCCGUUCCCCGACUAGUCCCUGCUACGUUCUCAUUUCCUGAAGAAAACAAUGGAAGCAAAAGGGUGAGCUCAAUUAGCCCAGUAAGAAAUAUUAUAACUAAGAUAAUGCAGAAUAAUUUAUCAUUAGUCUUCAACAGGAUUAAACUGAUAAAAUAUAACAAACAUCAAGUUUAACUACAGCGAAAUAAGCAAUCCAUUAGAAGAGUCAAGUAGAGAAUAAAAUCUACUGUCUUCUAUGAUUUAAAAAGUUUUUCAUUAACUUUUAUCGCUGAGACUCAGCUUAAUAAAUAAUCCACAUCAUCCCUGAACUACGGCCAAGGAUAUUCAUUAGUAUCACAACCACAAAUUAUCCAUGUGCACUACGGGCCAAGGAUAUUCGUGUAUUCAUCAAUAGUCAUGAUCAUGCCAACAACUGUCCAUCAAUGCACUACGGGCCAAUGAGGACUUUUACCACAUCAUUUAUAACAUUACGGUCAUGAUUAUACCGAAUAAUCCCUAGUCAUAAUCAUACCAAGUCUAUCUAUGCACUACAGGCCAUAGAUGACUUUCAACAUAAUAUAAACAUGAGGAUGAUGACAAUGAUAUAAGAAUUCAAUAAAACAAGUUCAAGAAUUAAUUUAUCCAUGAACAAAUAACGUCUAAAUUAUCAACAUGAUACUUCUUUGUAGAGUAAAAUUCAAGAAUGCUCGGAAGAAUAUUUCCAUGAAAAGAUACUAGAUGAAGCGCAAAUAUCAAGGAUAUUCCACUAAUUUCAUGGAGUAUAGAAGAUAAAACUUUAACCAACUGAGUAUAAUAAAGAAUGGAAUAACAAAAUAAUAAAUAACGGAACCAGGUCAUGCGUAAAUGCACAGACAGGAUAUUCCAACAGAAUAAUAAAUAAUGGAACCAGGUCAUGCGUAAAUGCACAGACAGGAUAUUCCAACAGAAUAAUAAAUAAUGGAACCAGGUCAUGCGUAAAUGCACAGACAGGAUAUUCCAACAGAAUAAUAAACAACGAAACCAGGCCAUGAGUAAACGCACAGACAAGAUUUUCCAACAGAAUAAUAAAGAAUGGAAUAACAGAAGAAUUUCACCAUGUAUGCAGUACUUUGCAUAGACAGGUUAUUCCAACAUAAUAAUAAAGAAUGGAAUAACAGAAGAAUUUCACCAUGUAUAGGGUAGCCCGCGUAUACAGGUUAUUCCAACAGAAUAAUAAAGAAUGGAAUAACAGAAGUUCUCUGCAUGAAUAAUAAAGAAAGAAUACCCCUUACGAGUACAACAAAUAAUAUGCCUUACCGUAAAAGAAAAGUAUUUCGACUGGUAGGGCGAGAAUAUUCUUGAAGAAAACUUGCACUACGCUCAAAGUUUCUUAAAACUCUAAAGAAAUACGCUCAAGAUUAUAAAAGAAUUCUCUGAACUUCUAGUGUGAUUUUCAAUUCUAACUAAGCGUCCUAUU
rnacentral:lncRNA from 1 species